CAAGUCGAACGAGCGAGAGAGAGCUUGCUUUCUCAAGCGAGUGGCGAACGGGUGAGUAACGCGUGAGGAACCUGCCUCAAAGAGGGGGACAACAGUUGGAAACGACUGCUAAUACCGCAUAAGCCCACGGCUCGGCAUCGAGCAGAGGGAAAAGGAGCAAUCCGCUUUGAGAUGGCCUCGCGUCCGAUUAGCUAGUUGGUGAGGUAACGGCCCACCAAGGCGACGAUCGGUAGCCGGACUGAGAGGUUGAACGGCCACAUUGGGACUGAGACACGGCCCAGACUCCUACGGGAGGCAGCAGUGGGGAAUAUUGCACAAUGGGGGAAACCCUGAUGCAGCGACGCCGCGUGGAGGAAGAAGGUCUUCGGAUUGUAAACUCCUGUUGUUGAGGAAGAUAAUGACGGUACUCAACAAGGAAGUGACGGCUAACUACGUGCCAGCAGCCGCGGUAAAACGUAGGUCACAAGCGUUGUCCGGAAUUACUGGGUGUAAAGGGAGCGCAGGCGGGAAGACAAGUUGGAAGUGAAAUCCAUGGGCUCAACCCAUGAACUGCUUUCAAAACUGUUUUUCUUGAGUAGUGCAGAGGUAGGCGGAAUUCCCGGUGUAGCGGUGGAAUGCGUAGAUAUCGGGAGGAACACCAGUGGCGAAGGCGGCCUACUGGGCACCAACUGACGCUGAGGCUCGAAAG
rnacentral:rRNA from 1 species